rnacentral:lncRNA from 1 species
ACUGUAACUGUCUUCAGACACACCAGAAGAGGGCAUCAGAUCUUAUUACAGAUGGUUGUGAACCACCAUGUGGUUACCGGGAUUUGAACUCAGGACCUCCAGAAGAGCAGUCAGUACUCUUAACCACUGAGCCAUCUCUCCAGCCCAGCCCCCAUUUUUUUUUCGUCCUUAAUCUCCCAAGCCUAAAUCUGAAUUCUUUACCCGAAGCUGGUGUCUACUCUAUUAGCAACAUGCCUGUUGUUAUAACGACUUCUUCUCACGCCCUAGCUUCAUCUUCUCCAUGGUUGGUCUGUACUACAUCAACAAGAUAUCCUCCACUCUGUACCAGGCUACAGCUCCAGCCCUCACGCCGGCCAAAGUCACUGGCAAGAGCAAGAAGAGAAACUGACUGGGAAUGAGUAAUAAGAACGAGUAAUAAAGUUGCUUCUUUGU